rnacentral:rRNA from 1 species
CAGCACCUCAAGUGGUCAGGAUGAUUAUUGGGCCUAAAGCAUCCGUAGCCGGCGCUGUAAGUUUUCGGUUAAAUCUGUACGCUCAACGUACAGGCUGCCGGGAAUACUGCAGCGCUAGGGAGUGGGAGAGGUAGACGGUACUCGGUAGGAAGGGGUAAAAUCCUUUGAUCUAUUGAUGACCACCUGUGGCGAAGGCGGUCUACCAGUACACGUCCGACGGUGAGGGAUGAAAGCUGGGGGAGCAAACCGGAUUAGAUACCCGAGUAGUCC